ACGCUCGACACCUACGGGGGGCAGCAGUGGGGAAGUAAUUGCACAAUGGGGGAAACCCGUACGAUGCAGCGACGCCGCGUGGAGGAAGAAGGUCUUCGGAUUGUAAACUCCUGUUGUUGGGGAAAAAGAAGGAUGGUACCCAACAAGGAAGUGACGGCUAACUACGUGCCAACAGCCGCGGUAAUCUGAGCGGGCUGGCAAGGC
rnacentral:rRNA from 1 species